UUAUUUAUCAGUGCUGUAUGGUAGCAGAGAAGUUCUUAUAUGAAAAAUCUAGUUCUAACUAUAUAGAAGUGCUUGAUAUGUUUUAAAGUAGAAGUAAUAGAAUAACACUUUAUAAAUAGGUUUUAUAAACUGAUGGAAAAUACUGUGUCUGAAAACAG